CCCGCCUGAACCCUGUCAUGCACCAUCUCAUACACCAAGACCCGUAGUUCAGCCACUGAUCUUCGGAGGAUGUAGUGAGAGCACUUGUUGUCAUGGCAAUCUGUGUCCUCCGCUUCGGGUCACUGGGCUCUCUUUGAACCAUGGAUCAUUUGGGGGGCUGCUUAUUUUUUAGCUCACCAGUCAGAUUUCUGUGCUUAAGGAAGGGAAACAGCCAGUGCUUUGGGAGCAGUGGAAACAUCAGCAGUGGGGCGACACUGGCGGGUGAGGUGACGCUGGCAGUGGACAACGCUGGGGCGUGGGGUGAUGCUGGCAGUGAGGUGGCACCAGGGUGCGGGGCGAUGCUGCCAGUGAGUAUGCCCCAGGGUGUGGGGUGAGCGGGGCCAUACCGGAAGUAGGGCAGCACUGGGAGUGGGGUGAUGCCAGUAUUGAGGUGGCUCUGGGUUGCGGGGCGACGCCGGCAGUGAGGUGGCUAUGGGGUACGGGCCGACUCCGGCAGUGAGGUGGCUAUGGGGUGCGGGGCGACGCCGGCAGUGAGGUGGCUAUGGGGUACGGGGCGACGCCGGCAGUGAGGUGGCUCCGGGGUGAGAGGCGACGCCGGCAGUGAGGUGGCUCCGGGGUGAGAGGCGACGCCG